rnacentral:tRNA from 1 species
GCGCAGGUAGUUCAAUCAAGGCAGAACACCGCCAACGGCGGACGAUGUGAGUUCGACUCUCGCCCUGCGCC